rnacentral:rRNA from 1 species
CCCCGGUAGUCCAUACCGUAAACGAUGGGUGCUAGUUGUUAAGAGGUUUCCGCCUCCUAGUGACGUAGCAAACGCAUUAAGCACCCCGCCUGAGGAGUACGGCCGCAAGGCUAAAACUUAAAGGAAUUGACGGGGACCCGCACAAGCGGUGGAGCAUGUGGUUUAAUUCGAAGAUACGCGAAAAACCUUACCAGGUCUUGACAUACCAAUGAUCGCUUUUGUAAUGAAAGCUUUUCUUCGGAACAUUGGAUACAGGUGGUGCAUGGUCGUCGUCAGCUCGUGUCGUGAGAUGUUGGGUUAAGUCCCGCAACGAGCGCAACCCUUGUUAUUAGUUGCCAGCAUUUAGUUGGGCACUCUAAUGAGACUGCCGGUGAUAAACCGGAGGAAGGUGGGGACGACGUCAGAUCAUCAUGCCCCUUAUGACCUGGGCAACACACGUGCUACAAUGGGAAGUACAACGAGUCGCAAACCGGCGACGGUAAGCUAAUCUCUUAAAACUUCUCUCAGUUCGGACUGGAGUCUGCAACUCGACUCCACGAAGGCGGAAUCGCUAGUAAUCGCGAAUCAGCAUGUCGCGGUGAAUACGUUCCCGGGUCUUGUACACACCGCCCGUCAAAUCAUGGGAGUCGGAAGUACCCAAAGUCGCUUGGCUAACUUUUAGAGGCCGGUGCCUAAGGUAAAAUCGAUGACUGGGAUUAAGUCGUAACAAGGUAGCCGUAGGAGAACCUGCGGCUGGAUCACCUCCUUUCUAAGGA